UGGUCAAUAUGAACCAAAGCUGGAGCUUAUU
rnacentral:piRNA from 1 species